CCCUUUCAGGUUUUCAAUCCACCGAGAUGCUCAUUUUUGCCUAAGCCGCCCUUUCGGGUUUUCAACUUAGCGAGCUAUUCUUUUCUUUUUAGGCGAAGUAUUUCUUAACUGCAUCUGCGUUUACAGGACGGGUGAACUCUUCACCAUCCAUAGUUGUAAGAAUCAAUGCACCGCCUGAGAAGGCUUUCUUAACAACAUAUGAGCCUUCAUAAUUAGGAGUCCAUUUGCCCCUAGAGUCUUGCUUGAAAGAUAGGAUCUUCUUGAGCACAAGGUCACCUUCUCU
rnacentral:lncRNA from 1 species